GGGUGGAAGCCAGCGAGAGCCAUCUUGACUCUCUCCCUCUGCUUUCUUUUCUUUCUUUCUCUUUCUUUUUUUUUUUCUUUCUUUCUUUUUCUUUCUUUUCUUAUUAAACUCAAAAACAAAUGGAGACCAGCCUUAAGAAGUCCCUGAAGACCUCCAGUUAUGGAAUGAAUGAGUCACAGGGAUAAAAGUUCAAGGCAUCAGAAAUGGGAUCCAAAGAAGACCCUUCAAUGACUCCAAGGCCAGUGAGCAAAAAGGUGAUAGUAUCCACAGAGAGCAUUGAGCUCAGUGUUUCUUAUUCCCCUUGGAGUUUGAGGGAGAAAGAAUGCCUACCUCCCUCAUAGAGCUGUUGUGUGAAUCAAACAGGACACUCCAUUUAAAGCACUAAGAGCAACACCUGGGCCGUGGUUAGGAGAGAAGCAGGGCAUGUCUAAAAGGUGAACAAUCAUGAAAAACCAAGAAGGGUCCUUAGGAAAAUCUCCUGAGCAUAAGUAAUCCUGAUUUCUUUUGUUUUAUUAGUUCAAUGACUAUAUAGCGAGACUCUGCUAAUAUUGAUAAUAUAUCAAUUAUUAACAGGAAUUCCUAAUAAUAGGAAUACAAAGCUAAGUAAGACAUGGUCCUUGCCUUCAAGGAGUUCACAGUCUAAUGGGGAAAUCAAUUAAGCAGAUAACAAUGUGAUGU